GGAUUGAACGCUGGCGGCAUGCCUUACACAUGCAAGUCGAGCGGCAGCGCGGGGGCAACCCUGGCGGCGAGCGGCGAACGGGUGAGUAAUGCAUCGGAACGUGUCCUUUUGUGGGGGAUAACGCAGCGAAAGUUGCGCUAAUACCGCAUACGAUCUAAGGAUGAAAGCAGGGGACCGCAAGGCCUUGUGCUCCUGGAGCGGCCGAUAUCUGAUUAGCUAGUUGGUGGGGUAAAGGCCUACCAAGGCAUCGAUCAGUAGCUGGUCUGAGAGGACGACCAGCCACACUGGAACUGAGACACGGUCCAGACUCCUACGGGAGGCAGCAGUGGGGAAUUUUGGACAAUGGGCGAAAGCCUGAUCCAGCAAUGCCGCGUGAGUGAAGAAGGCCUUCGGUGUAAGCUCUUUGUCAGGAAGAAACGGUGAGGCUAAUAUCCUUGCUAAUGACGUACCUGAAGAAUAAGCACGCUAACUACGUGU
rnacentral:rRNA from 1 species